rnacentral:rRNA from 1 species
UACGAAGGGGGCUAGCGUUGUUCGGAAUCACUGGGCGUAAAGGGCGCGUAGGCGGCCGCUCAAGUCGGGGGUGAAAUCUCCGGGCUUAACCCGGAACGGUCAGCCGAUACUGCAGGGCUAGAGUGCAGAAGGGGCAACUGGAAUUCUCGGUGUAGCGGUGAAAUGCGUAGAUAUCGAGAGGAACACCUGCGGCGAAGGCGGGUUGCUGGGCUGACACUGACGCUGAGGCGCGAAAGCUAGGGGAGCGAACGGG